rnacentral:snRNA from 1 species
AUACUUAUCUGGCAGGGGAGAUACCAUGAUCAUGAAGCUGGUUUUCCCAGGGCAAAGCUUAUCCAUUGCACUCCAGAUGUGCUGACUUGUGAGAUUUCCCCAAAUGUGGGAAACUCGACUGCAUAAUUUGUGUUAGUGGUGGACUGUGUUCGUGCUCUCACCUG